rnacentral:rRNA from 1 species
UACGUAGGUGGCAAGCGUUGUCCGGAAUUACUGGGCGUGAAGAGCGCGUAGGCGGGAAUUUAAGUCAGGAGUGAAAACUGUGGGCUCAACCUACAGCCUGCUCUUGAAACUGGAUUUCUUGAGGGUAUGAGAGGAAAGCGGAAUUCCUAGUGUAGCGGUGAAAUGCGUAGAUAUUAGGAGGAACACCAGUGGCGAAGGCGGCUUUCUGGCAUACAACUGACGCUGAGGCGCGAAAGCGUGGGGAGCAAACGGG